rnacentral:rRNA from 1 species
GACGAACGCUGGCGGCGUGCUUAACACAUGCAAGUCGAACGGAAACGCCCUGCUUUUGUGGUGUUCUCGAGUGGCGAACGGGUGAGUAACACGUGAGUAACCUGCCCUUGACUUUGGGAUAACUUCAGGAAACUGGGGCUAAUACCGGAUAGGAUCUCCUGCUGCAUUGUGGGGGUUGGAACUUCUCGGCGGUUGUGGAUGGACUCGCGGCUUAUCAGCUUGUUGGUGGGGUAGUGGCUUACCAAGGCUUGGACGGGUAGCCGGCCGGAGAGGGGGACCGGCCACAAUGGGACUGAGGUACGGCGCAGACUCCAACGGGAGACAGUAGUGGGGAAUAUGACACAGUGGGCGGAAGUCUGAUGCAGAGGCGCCGCGUUCGGGAUGACGGCCUUCGGGUUGUAAACCGCUUUCGCCUGUGACGAAGCGUGAGUGACGGUAAUGGGUAAAGAAGCACCGGCUAACUACGAG